rnacentral:rRNA from 1 species
CGGGUAGUUAGUGGCGCACGGGUGCGUAACGCGUGGGAAUCUGCCCCUUGGUUCGGAAUAACAGUUGGAAACGACUGCUAAUACCGGAUGAUGACGUAAGUCCAAAGAUUUAUCGCCGAGGGAUGAGCCCGCGUAGGAUUAGGUAGUUGGUGUGGUAAAGGCGCACCAAGCCGACGAUCCUUAGCUGGUCUGAGAGGAUGAUCAGCCACACUGGGACUGAGACACGGCCCAGACUCCUACGGGAGGCAGCAGUGGGGAAUAUUGGACAAUGGGCGAAAGCCUGAUCCAGCAAUGCCGCGUGAGUGAUGAAGGCCUUAGGGUUGUAAAGCUCUUUUACCCGGGAUGAUAAUGACAGUACCGGGAGAAUAAGCUCCGGCUAACUCCGUGCCAGCAGCCGCGGUAAUACGGAGGGAGCUAGCGUUAUUCGGAAUUACUGGGCGUAAAGCGCACGUAGGCGGCUUUGUAAGUAAGAGGUGAAAGCCCAGAGCUCAACUCUGGAAUUGCCUUUUAGACUGCAUCGCUUGAAUCAUGGAGAGGUCAGUGGAAUUCCGAGUGUAGAGGUGAAAUUCGUAGAUAUUCGGAAGA